rnacentral:rRNA from 1 species
AUGAAGAAACUCCAUACGGAUGGGAUUUUGGAAUCACCUGAUUAUGAAUCACUUGAUGCUUGCGAACCGUGCCUCAUGGGCAAGAUGACUGAAACGCCGUUCUCCGGAACUAUGGAGAGAGCAACAGAUUUGUUGGAAAUCAUACAUACAGAUGUAUGUGGUCCGAUGAAUAUUGAGGCUCGUAGCAGGUAUCAUUAUUUUCUGAGCUUGACAGAUGAUUUGAGCAGAUAUGGGUAUAUCUACUUGAUGAAACAUAAGUCUGAAACAUUUGAAAAGUUCAAAGAAUUUCAGAGUGAAGUGGAAAAUCAUUGUGACAAGAAAAUAAAGUUUCUAUGA